UUUCCGUAGGUGAACCUGCGGGAGGAUCAUUAUCGAGUUUUGACUGGGGUGUAGCUGGCCUUCCGAGGCAUGUGCACGCCCUGCUCAUCACUCUACACCUGUGCACUUACUGUGGGUAUCAGAUCGUGAAGCGUGCUCUUUUACCGGAGCUUGUGAAGCGUGUCUGUGCCUGCGUUUAUCACAAAAACUAUAAAGUAUCAGAAUGUGUAUUACGAUGUAACGCAUCUAUAUGCAACUUUCAGCAACGGAUCUCUUGGCUCUC
rnacentral:misc_RNA from 1 species